GAGGGUAUAGCUCAGUGGUAGAGUGCAUGCUUAGCAUGCACGAGGCCCUGGGUUCAAUCCCCAGUACCUCUA
rnacentral:tRNA from 1 species